GCGGUGAAUACGUUCCCGGGUCUUGUACACACCGCCCGUCACACCAUGGGAGUUGGUAAUGCCCGAAGUCAGUGUUCCAAAAAAGGAAGCUGCCGAAGGCAGGACUGAUGACUGGGGUGAAGUCGUAACAAGGUAGCCGUAUCGGAAGGUGCGGCUGGAUCACCUCCUUUCUAAGGA
rnacentral:rRNA from 1 species